CAUAAAAUGAGGCGUAAUAGUUAGUAUCAUUGUUUCUUCUUUUCCUUUUUGCGAAAAGUAUCCCUUGUGCUCUUCUUUCAAUUGUUGCUAAUGUUUCAGUCCUUCAUUGGCUUGUGUUUUCACUCUUUUAAUCUUUCUUGUUAGAACAACUAUAUAUCUUUGUGGUCUUGGCAAUGAUGUCAUAUUGUCAACUAUGCAGGGAUUUGAAAUUAUCAACCUGAUUAUUGUUGUGAAGCGCUGCCUACAGGUUAGGAAAAAUUGGCUCAUUCAAGUCUUACAAUUUAAUUAGUUGGAUUCUUUUUUUCCUUCUAAGGAAACAUUUUCUAUCUUUUAAAGUUUUAAAAUUAUAUUAGUAUAUUAUUAAUUGUUUAGAUAUUCUGCGGGCAUCUCUUGGGCUUGCAAAAGAUCUUAAUGCUAUUUGAUUGCACUUAGAGGGACUCAUGAAAGCAGGUUUUGCCUAUACUGGUGCUUCAUAUUUUUAUCAAUUGUAUGAUUACAUGUUUUACCUCAACUUUGAUGCUUGAAUUAAAUCGUUUCAGUACUAUCUUCUUCUAUGAAAGAGUAAAAACACGAAAUUGGUUUCACUCCUUGCCUUAAUAUGCAUCAUCUUUAUGAUGCCCGAGGGCUUAAGUUCCGCAGUGCUGCCAAAACUUAGUCAAGUGUUUCAAGUAUGAAACAUAAAGGAAAAUUAUAUGGGAUUAUAAAAAAUAAAUGACUAAUGCCAUUAAUAAAAAUAAACUAAUUUAUUUAAAACAGAAUCAUGGAUUCAAUAAAUUUUGACAUAAAACAAAAAAUACUUCAAUGAUAAUCACUUAAAUACACAAGCAAAAGAAAAAAAAUCCCAUCAACUUAUUUUCACGCUGGAUCUGGUUUAGGAUCAUUCCAACACUAUCCAACAAUAAAGUUUCCAGAGUAACUUUAAUGCUUGCAGCAUCAUUUCUUUCCUUCCACUCAUCAAUUAUUGCCUUUAGAGCUACGCCAACAAUCGAAUUUGUGCUCUUUAGGUUCAAUCCUCACUUUGGACAAACAAUUUCCUCAGUAUUCUCAAACUAACAAACCAUUUGAGAAUUGUUGUCCUCUUAUAUGUUAUUCCACUUUCUAUUGUUAUUGGAUCAUUCAUAAUCUUUUAUAUCAACGGACAGAAGAAUGUAUCAUAUAUGAGCUCCACGUAUUGAGCCAUCUGUGGUAAACUGACAAAGGGACCAGCACUCCAACUUUCAUAGUCAUUUUUGUCUAAACUCUUCCUGCUUUCUAAAUUACCUGAUAACUGUUAUUCACUACAUAAAUUUAAACAUCACUGGAAUAUAAAUUUGUGUCCAUUUGUUCCCUAUCUCACCCUCGUAUGUCCACAGAAAACAAUUAAAGUUGCUCUUUUAACUCUAGAAUUCAAGUUUCAUUAACUACAACAUUUGAACUUUGGAGAGAAUCAAGUUAUGUGUAAAUUGAUUCCUAAUUGCUAUUUUUAGCAUUUAAUUUUCUGGCUGCCUACCAUGCAUUUUUUUUUUCUUUUUUGGCUAAUGUUGCACCAUUGCUUUAUGACAAUUAUUCUUUGUCUGUUAGCUUUUUGGUCAUCUAUCAUGGAAUUGAUUUUUUUUUUUUCCAUUAGUAAUCUCUAAAAAAAUAAAAAAAAUCCCAUUUUGUUGAUCACUUUUUAAGAUUUAGCUGUAAAUCGUAAGUGAUAGGUUUGCUAUGAUAGUACUUGUGGUUAAUUUGGAUAUAUCUUUACUCAUGCUUUUUAAUAUUUGGCUUUAAAUUUAUGAGCAAUGAGUUUUUUUCAGCUGGAUUAUCAUAAGAUUUUUCUUUGGGAUGUUAUAUUUUAUGCAAGCAUGUCUUGUUUCCAAGGCUUGCUCCUUCCUAAAGCUGCUUCACAGUUUCUGCAUUUGGGUACAUGGUUUGUAAUUUGGCCAAUCCACCUGUUAUUGUCUAAAUACUUUGGCAUCUUUCGUGUAGUUCUCUACUAAUAAUACGACACAUGUUUCUACUGCAUUUUAUAACUCACAUUGACUGUCUUACGGGGCUUCAUAUGAGCUCUUGCAGUUGGGAGCUUCUGUACUUCAUCUUGAAGAUCAUAUUGCUAGUUGUUGUGAUUGCCCCCAUUCCAUUUGGAUUGGGUUGUUUCAGUUUGGAGUAGAUUGUAGCAGGGGCUUUUCACGCAGAAGAUAAUGUUUUUAUUGGGAAUAGUAUUUGUUGACCUCGCAAAUUGGACCCUCCACGUGGUCAACCGAUAGCUACUCCACGUAUUCUUCUCUACGCUCAGUCAACGCACGGUCAGAUGCACACGACCGGAACCAGCGAGGGUGGUGGCGACCGCAUACACUCCGACGAUCAAGUUAGCCUCAGGUGAUCGGAACAAUACCUAGGUUGUGCAAAAUAGUGGGGAUGAGAAUAUAUAUUUGCUUGUUAUGGAAAGAUAUGUUGUAAGAGUUUCAUUACCUUUACCUCUUGUCAAACCUUGGGUAUUUAUAGGUGAGGAGAAUCGUUGGAUGUGGGACACGUGUAUGCAUCUGACGGUGUGAGGCGUUUGCUCAUAGGCUUCAAUCAGUCGCGUCUAUAGAGUGGGCGGGUAAUUACUUCUCCCGAGUUGAGUUGACAUAAAGUUGAUACAUCACAUCAACUAGGCUCAUGGAGAUGUCCAAUCAAUUAAACCUUGGGGGCAGAAAGGACCUUGACAUAGAUCUUUUUCUGAAAUUGGCGGCAGAUCCUCUGAUAGAGAGCCUCAAAAUGUAGUGCGCCUCAACUUCAGGGGCUAGGACGCUUCGAUCGAUUCAGUAAAUUGUCUGUAUCUCGUAGUGCAUUAGCAGAUCAACAACAUUGGUGGUGGUGUUACUUCGGAACCACUUCGGAUGGGUGUUGAACACCUCGUAUUAUAACUCCAAGGUUAGAAAUCGGACAGAGAGAUCAGACCCCAGUAGAAUAAAGUUAAUUAAUUUUUGUGGUGGCUUCGACCUCUUUUGUAAUCCAAUUCCAAAUGAAUGAAAUGAAUUUUUUUUGUUAAGUAUUGUUGCUUCUGCUUUUCUAUUGUGUUGAACCGUUUACAUUUGAGUAUAUGAAUGACAAUCACUUAAGUAAACAUGAUGCGCCAUUUACCAAUAAUCGGUUAAUAACAGAAGAUCGGACUAAUUAACAUAUUGAAGAGCUGAGGUAACAAUUUACUAACCGAUGUGACAAAGAACUAAAGUAUCAUUACUUAGAGAAGUUACACCACCCUUCACUAAGGGAUUUUUAGCACUUAGUAAGAUAGAGAAGUUACAAAUGAGAUCGGAUCAUGACAUAUUCAUUAGACAUUGAGAUUGGAUCGGAACACAAGUUCAUCACUGAUCGUACUUCCUCAAGUGUUCGAUGUUCCAUUGAUGAGGGAGUGCUUUCCCUGCCAUGUCUUCAAUUUCAAAAGUGCCAAGUCGGGAUUCCCUAAGGAUGCAGCAAGGACCCUCCCAGUUCGAUCCCAACACUCCGGACCCGGUUGGCUUUGAUGAUUGGAAGACCCUUUUUAGGACGAGGUCCCCCAGACGAAGAGUCCGAUUUCUGACCUUGAAGUUAUAAUAGCGGGUCAUCUUUAUAUGAUACUUUGUCAAGUUCACCUGGGAGGCAUCCCUCCUUUUUUCAAGGAGGUGAAGUUCGUUCAUUCGAGCCUCGUCGUUAUUGAUCUCAUUGAAGUGUAUUUGACGGUACGAUAGGACUCCUACCUCAACCGGGCUCAUGGCCUCGGCUCCGUAGGUCAUUGAGAAUGGUGUCUCCCCUGCUGCAGUUCGGCUAGUUGUUCUAAUGGCCCAGAGGGCGUGGGGAAGCUCAUCGACCCAAGCCCCCUUCGAGAUGUCAAGCUUCAUUUUCAAGGUAUGCUUGAUUGUUUUGUUUACUGCUUCAACUUGCUCAUUUGCUUGUGGGUGAUGAGGCGUUGAGAAAUCCUUCUUUAUGCCCAGUUCGUCGCAUAAGUCUCGCAUUUUCUUGUUGUCGAACUGUUCCCGUUGUCGGAUACUAAGGAGUGGGGAAUGCCGAACCUAUAAACCUAUAAACGAUAUUCUUCCAGACGAAUUUUGUAGUAUUUGCCUCGGUGAUCUCGGCAAGAGGUUCAGCUUUGAUCCACUUGGUAAAAUAGUCGAUGGUGACAAUGGCAAAAGUCGCGCUUCCUCUUCCUUUUGGGAGUGGGCCAAUGAAGUUGAUGCCCUAUUUGGCGAACGGCUAAGGGCCGGUCACUACGGAGAGGCUCUGAGAAGGUUGGCUUUGAAUAUUUGAGAAGCGUUGGCACUUGUCACAUUUCUGGACAAACUGGCAAGUAUCCCUUUCAGGGUCGCCCAAAAGUAGCCUUACCGGAGUACUUUGUGUGCCGGAGCCGUUCCUCCGGGGUGAUUCCCACAGAUUCCCUCAUGGAUUUCCCUGAGUAUAUACAUUCCCUCUUUGCCUCCUACACAUCGGAGAAGUGGCGAGGCGAAGCCUCUUUUGUAGAGGACAUUUUCUUGUAGGACGAAAUGUGCAGCCCUUCUUCUUAACUUCCUUGCCUCGCUUCUAGAAGCUGGUAGUGAUUGGUUCUUAAGAUAGGCGAUGAUGGAUUGCAUCCAUAACGGGGUGCCUUCUAUCCAUAGCAUCUCUUCACCUCCGGAAAUGGAGGGCUUCGAUAAGUGUUCAAUGGGGACAACCUUUAGUAGCUCUGAAUUCUUGCUGCUGGCCAAUUUUGACAGGGCGUCUGCAUGAGUAUUCUCUAGGCGUGGGACUUGAAUCAGCUCGAACCUUUCAAAAUGAGGAACUAGGUCCAGAACCAAUUUCAAGUAUGCAACCAUGCUACUGUCUUUGGCUGCGAAGUUUCCAUUGACCUGACUCACUACAAGUUGAGAAUUGCUGCUUGUUAGAAGCCCUCUAACCUGCAUUUCCUUCGCCAGUCUAAGGCCUGCUAGAAGGGCCUCAUAUUCAGCAGCGUUGUUCGAGGCUUUGAAGCCAAACCUUACUGCGCAAUUUAGUUUGUGGCCUUCGGGCUUUCCAAGUCGAUCCCUGCCUCAGAGCCAACCUCUCCUGAGGAUUCAUCUACGAACAGUUUUCACGUUGGGGGCUUGGCUGGUUCCAUUGUCACCUCCAUUUCUGGGGUUUUGGCAAAUUCAGCCACAAAAUCUACAAAGGCCUGAUCCUUGAUGGCAUGUCGAGGUCGGAAUAGUAGGUCGAACUCACUGAGCUUGAUUGUCCAUUUUAGCAGGCGUCCUGAUGCGUCUGUUCUCUGCAGCACUUGCUUCAAUGGGAAGUUGGUGAGAACUUCAAUUGAGUGGGCCUGGAAGUAUGGCCUCAGUUUCCUUGAGGCUGUGACGAGGGCAAGUGCCAGUUUCUCCAUGUCUGGGUAGCGUGUUUCAGCUAGGAGGAGUGCUUUACUGACAUAGUAUACCGGCAACUGGUGCCCAUUCUCUUCUCUGACUAGGACUGCAUUGACCGCCUCGUCUGAGACCGCCAAGUACAGGAGUAGUGAUUCUUCUGGUUGAGAUUUGGACAACAGGGGCACCUCUCCUAAGUGCUUCUUCUGCGCUUGGAAGGCUUCUUCGCACUCAUAAGUCUAUUGGAACUUCUUUCCUUGUUUCAGCACAUUGAAGAAGGGCAAGAUCUUAUCUGUAGCUCUGGAGAUGAAGCGACUGAGAGCGGCUAUCCGACCAUUGAGGCUUUGGACCUCCUUUGGUUUUUGAGGUGACCUCAUUUCAAGCAAGGUCAUUAUCUUCACUGGGUUUGCUUCGAUUCUUCUUUGGUUUACAAUAUAUCCCAAAAAUUGACCCGAAGCCACUCCAAAGGUGCACUUGAGGGGAUUUAACUUCAUUUUAUAUUUUCUAAGUAUCUAAAAGGUUUGGUCGAGAUGACUUACGUGUUCGAUGGCCUGAAGGCUUUUGACUAGCAUAUUGUCCACGUAGACCUUCAUGGUUUUGUCAAUGAGUUCGGCAAAUAUCAUGUUGACUAGCCUCUGAUAUGUAGCUCUAGCAUUUUUCAAUCCGAAGGGCAUGACUUUGUAGCAGUACGGUCCUCUGUCUGUGAUGAAUGAUGUAGCCUCCUCAUCAGGUCGGAACAUGGGUAUCUGGUUAUACCUUGAGUAUGCAUCCACGAAGCUCAAGAGUUCAUGUCCGACGGUGGAAUCCACAAGUUGGUCUAUCCUUGGAAGUGGGAAACUGUCUUUAGGGCAUGGCUUAUUUAAAUUUGUGAAGUCUACGCACACCUUUUACUUUUCGCUGGGCUUCUUCACCAGGACCGGGUUGGAUAUCCACUUCGAAUAGAUGGCUUCUCUGAUGUAGCUGCUGCGGCUAAGUUGGUGUACUUCGUCUUUCAGCGCCUCAUACCGUUCUGGGUUGAGGGCACGUCUUUUUUGCCUCUGUGGGGCAUCGGAAGAGUUGAUGUUAAGAUGAUGGCAACUGAUCCUUGGAUCUAUUCCCACCACGUCUUCAAUCUUCCAAGCGAAGACAUCCAAGUUCUUUUACAGGAAGCUCACCAUUUCUUUUUUUGCUUCGGGGGACAGUGCCUUUCCUAUUAGCAGGACCUGAUUGGGGUCCUCUGGGUUGGCGAAAAAUGUUUCAAGUUCUUGCAUUGGGGUUGCAUUUAGCUCGAAGUCAAUGAUCCGGGGAUCUAAUUCAUCAAGAGGGUGCCCUUCUUCAGAGGCCUCUUCCAUGUCGACGUCUUCCUCCUUUUCGAAGGUAUGCCCUUGUUCAGGGGCGUCGAGCAUUUUCACGUCCAAAUUGAGUUCACUGACAACUUCAAUUAUGAUCACGUUAACAGUUCGGGGCUCCAAUUUUCGCAGAGAGUUUAAGUAAUAUGUCCUGGAGCCCAUCUGAUCGCACCGUACCGUGGCAAUCCCAUGUUCAGUUUGGAAUUUCAUGCACAAGUAGUGGAUGGAGGUGAUAGCCCAAAGAUCUUUUAAGGCGGGUCUGCCCAAUACUCCAUGGUAGGCUAAUUUGUGGUCUACCACUAAGAAUUUCAUGAAGUGUUGGGCCACUAGAGGAGCUGAACCCAUCUCGAUAGGCAGAGUAAUCCGCCCUCGUGGGACGAUGCUGUCUCCAGUAAAUCCGAACAGUGGAUCGGUCAUGGGGAUCAACCCAUGUUCAAUUUGCAUCUUGUCGAAGGUGGAGCCGAACAGUAUAUUCACCGAACUGCCAUUGUCGACGAGCAUGCGUUUGAGCCCGUUUCUUGCCACUACGGCUCUUACAACCAAUGCGUCACAAUGGGAGUGGUGAACUCCUUGCGUAUCUUUCUGGGAGAAGGUGAUUGGGGCCAUCCUAUUGGCCUCUUGGGACUCGUUGACAAUGUAGGUGAGCAUUGGUGGGUCCUUUGCUUCCCUUGUGUAAUUCCUUUGGGUGUUCCUGGUGUUGCCACCGAUAUGAGGUCCCCCAAUGAUCAUGUCGAUCUCCCUGAUGAUUUGGCCUCCAGAAAAUGGGGCCUGAUCUCUCUGUUUGGACUCUCUUCGGUCCCUUGAUUCUCUUCUCUGAGGUGAUUGCUCUCUAUGCCACUGCUCUCUAUGCCUUCUCUUUCCCCUAUUCGAGGAGGCGGAUCUAUGAGGAUAUUCGUUCCUCCUGGAGGGAUGUGGGUUGCUCCGAUUCGGGCGUCGAGGAGCGUCUCUGCACUCGUUGGUGUCAUGCCCAUGGAGUUGGUAGAAAGUGCAAAACCUUGCCCUUUCCAAGGGCCUGUUUGACCACUUCUUCUUCUUCUUUUUAUUACUAUCAGUUCUUCCAGAUGGCCCUGCUACGCCAAGGAAAUUCUCGUAUGCCAACACCGGCACUGCAUUUAGAGUGGCGGAAGCCAGUGCCUGUCCGGAGGUGGGAGCUAUUGUAUUACCUGCUUGAGUCCAUUGUUGAGUGACAAGGUGUGCUGCGGGUCCUCGACCUACCUGCCUUUGAGGCGGAGGGAGUCCCUGCACGGCACGAUUUCAGUGAUCAAUCAUCUAUUCACUGACGAUCUCAACUCUCAUCAUUUCUACCAGUUCGUCAUAAGUGGUGGGAUUUUUGCUGCGCACAUCCCUCCAGAAUAAAGUGUUCAUGUUGAGGCCGUCUUUCAAGGCCGAAAGGGCUUCUCUGUCAGUGACGUGCUUGCAAUACGUGAUUUCGUCUGUAAACCUGGCGAGAUAGUUUUUCAGCGUCUCUCCAGGGGCCUGCCUCAUAUCUUACAGGGGUUGCACCGGGGUCUUUCCUCUGCGUGAGAGGUACUGGUUCAAGAAUGCCUUCUUCAAAUUCGGCCUGCUCCUAAUGCUCAGGGGAGGAAGUCUGUUGUACCACACUUCAGCAGCUCCACCUAGGGUUAAGUGGAAGGCUCUGCACUUCAAAGUAGGCGAGGCUCCCCUGAGGCUCAUCUAUGUCAUGUAGUUGGUGAGGUGCUUCUUCGGGUCCCCCUUUUCUUCAUACUUGGGGAUCUUGAGGGGCAUGAAAUUUGCAGGCAUUGGUAAACAUCGGAUUUCCUUUGAGAAAGGGAGGUUAUCAUCGUCGUCGUCAAUUUCAUAGGAUCGACAAUGCCCAUCUGACUCUUCAUCAUCUUGAGUGUUCUGGGGAGGUGGAGGUGCUUUUCCUCGACUGGCCCAAUCAACUAAGUCCCUUCUCUUCUUCCUAUUUCUAGGAGGAGGAGGUGCUUGUUCUUGCUCCUGUUCUUGUCGAACUGAUCUUCGCACUGAGCGGACCCUAUUACUAGGGUCCUGCCCUAUUCGGUCGAAGACGCUGACUGACCUUUGUGCUUUAUAUUCUUGAGGGAAAUUGUCCCCCAAUUGUGGUUCUGAUGGCUAGCUCCCUUACACAUUGGAUGUGGCUUCCGCACCCACUUCUCUUUCAAGGGGGUGUUUUCUGUGCUGACUCACGUGGUCUCGGGAACGAGAUGCAGAGGCUUCCUGAAUUGGGUAAGAUCCUUGGGGCAUUUGAGAGCUCUGGUGACCUCGGGCUUGCAUGAGAAGUUCAUGCAUCGCCAUAUUCUGGGCUGCGAUGUCUUUCAUGUCCGCAGCUAUUUGAGUCAUUCCUUUAGUGAGCAUGACUGUUCUUUCAUCUCGACGACGUCGGUGAUGGGGUCUCUGGUGAGUGACAUUGUUACGGAGCACCUCUUCUUCAGAGGCCUCUCUCAUAGGGUUCUCGUCUUCAUGGUUGUAACUUAUCUUAUCUUUUUUUUCAAGGGUGAUAAGAACUUGAAUUAUUACUCGACUUUGCUCUUUUUCAAGAACGUGCCCUUUUCAGGGUAAGCCACUAGUUUUUCGGUGGUUUCUCCAGUGGAGAAUGCAGAACUUUGGACGGGAAGUUUCCCACAGACGGCGGCAAUCUGUUGACCUCGCAAAUUGGACCCUCCACAUGGCCAACCGAUAGCUACUCCACGUAUUCCUCUCUGCGCACAGUGAACGCACGGUCAGAUGCACAUGGUCGGAACCAGGGGGUAGUGGCGGCCGCAUACACUUCGACGGUCAAGUUAGCUUUAGGUGAGCGGAACAAUACCUAGGUUGUGCAAAAUAGUGGGGAGGAGAAUAUAUAUUUGCUUGUUAUGGAAACCUAUGUUGUAAGAGUUUCAUUACCUUUGCCUCUUGUUAAACCUUGGGUAUUUAUAGGUGAUGAGAGCAGUUGGAUGUGGGAAACGUGUAUGCAUCUGAUAGUGUGAGGUGUUUGCUCAUAGGCGUCAAUCAGUUGCGUCUAUAGAAUGGGCGGAUAAUUACUUCUCCCGAGUUGAGUUGACAUAAAGUUGAUACGUUACAUCAACUAGGCUCAUGGAGACGUCAAAUCAAUUAAACCUUGGGGGCAGAAAGGAUCUUGACAUAGAUUUCUUUUUGAAAUUGACGGCGGAUUCUCUGACAAAGAGCCUCGGAAUGUAGUGCGCCUCGGCUUCAGGGGCGAGGACGCUUCGGUCGGUUCAGUAGAUUGUCUGUGCCUCGCAGUGCGUUAGCAGAUUGACAACAUUGGUGGUGGCGUCACUUCGGAACCACUUCGAAUGGGUGUUAAACACCUCGUAUAACGUGAUGAUAGACUUUUCGAAGUGGUUCAGAUAGGAGCGUAACAAUAUUGAUUGGAGAGACACUUUUAAAAGAGCAUACAAAGGUAAUAAUGAACUAUGUUGCUAGUUAACCAAACAAUUUCAAAUUGCUGACAACCAUCAAUAUAUUCAUUGACAUUUGAUGAGUUUCAGAGCAACAUGGGAAAUUUUGUAAAGUUAGGUCAAUGAACAAGGACGACUUGCUAAAAAAUAUUUGGAGUGCAGAAAACUAUGGGAUCCAAUAAUGGAGGCAGUGGGGGGCGAAGCCAAGAAUGGGGUGGCAAUCUACAGAGGCGGGGAUCGUUCACACUGCCAUGUACAUUGAGUCAGAAGACAGUUGAUUAGGUUUCGAAGGAUAUAUCAAAAGAGUCUGGUGUCAGGAAGGAUGGGAGUGGUAUCGUAUAUUUUUAGGAGAAAUCGUGCUUUGGAGAAGGAUGUAGAAAGGAAUCAAAAGAAAAUGAUAAAAAACAGAGAGUCAGUUACAAGAUUAAGGGAUUGAAAGUAGGUAAAUAUCUCAAAGUUUUUGUUUAUAUUUUCAAAUUUUUUAUGGCAUGUAUGUGACUAUUUUCAUUAUCACGUGUCAAAAUAGUGGACUUAUGAAUCGUAAAUACAAUGUUUAACGGAAAAUCUAAUCAAAUGCUCGGAAAAUCCAUUCUUAGAAAUUUGCCAUCUCUCUAAUUAUGUGGAGGUAAUUGAAGAUUCCAGACACUGAAAAAAUUUGUUGUUUCCAUGAAACUUAGAAUAAAAAUUGGACACAUGCAAGACUGCUGCUUAUUGAGAAAGAUAUCAGAUAAAUCUAAUUUCAGAGAAAAAGUUAAGAAAAUAAGUAAAUCGACAGGUUAACUUUCAUCUACUUAUCCCUUUAAGGAUUUUGAUUAUCACUGACAUUAUGCUUUUAUCAUGUUGCAUAUGGCAAUCUAAUGUGUCAAACAGAUGAAUUCACGUCCUGAGAAGUUUAAAGCUUCCAUUUGCUACAAGAUAAUAUAGUAUGUGCUUUAAGAAACAAUAAUAGUUUGUUUUACUCCUGCAAUUGUUACACAAUGUUAACACGAUUCUUGUCGUAAAUUUUAAUUAAUCGGUCAAUUAUGUUAUUGUUUACAACGCAUAUUAACUUCCAUUAAACCAUUUUUUAUUUAGUGUUUUCCAGGCAUACUCUACUAUGGAGUUGAAAGCAGAAGUUGCAAAACUGAAGGAAGAAAACCAAGAAUUGCGGAAGAAACUGGGAAGCGUGAAUUUGACUAAUCUCCAUUUCCAUUUCUGUAACUUCUUAUUCUUAUUAAAUUAUAUCUGAUUUAUACCAUUUGGGUAUUCUAUUAUGUAGGCAGGAAUUAUGGAAUUGAUGAGGAAUCAGAUACCUGUCACCGUAAUCUUUCCCUUUAAAAAAAUUUAACUUACAGGUAUUUGGUGAAACCUGGCCAAUUGUUUAUUUUCUACAUUGGGUCAAGAUAGAACUCAUUGCUUUUAAUUAAUCUUCUGUAUCCCUUAUCUCACUUACGGAUUUUCAUAGAGAGCAUGUCCAGAAAAAGUAGAAGUUUACUUAAAUUAACAAAUUUUUUUUUGGAUUCGUUGCCUUUUCCUUACUUCCAAGUAAAAACUUACUUUCAAAUUAUGACCAAUUAAGGGAAUUUCUAACUAUGACCAAUUAAGUGAAUUAUAUAUUUAUUCAUUUAAUCUUAUCCAAAGAAAAAAAGAAAAAAGAAAACCCUCAUAGUAAAGGCAAAGUUCAUACUGUUCUUGCGUUCAGAGAUGGAGGUAGUGGGUGGCAGCCCAUAUUAUUUUGAGGAAAUUAGGCCCUAUGCCCUCUUUUUCUAAGUGUUCUGGUUAAUACCCUUCAAUUAAUUAAACAUUUUAAGAAAGUACUAAUUACGUCCUAAAUUCUAACCAAAAGCCAGCUCAGUUAACUACAGCAAACCCAAACCUAAACCUAACUCUCCAUAUUCCUCAUUCGUAGAAAUUGUCAGCUUGCAAAAUUCACCAAGCACCUUCCGUUGAUCUCUUCUCCGAGCAAAAAAUACGACUCUAAAUCUCCAUUUUUGACCCAUUUUUUGUUGAUUUCUCCUUUGUCUCCCCUUUUUACGUCUUCAUUUUCUCAUUUUCAUUUCGACCCCAAAAUUUUGUAAACCUUGUCCCCAAAUCGAUUUUGCCCCACAAUCGAAAGACCUCGAAGUUCGAUUGUUGUAUUCCUUAAUGCACGUUCAAUUUUCAGUCAUUUUGAUUCUCAUUUUGUGGAGAUCUUAGAUACCAAUCCUAAAAAUCCCAAAUAGUCGAAACCCUAACUCGUUCCGAUCAAAAUGUAAUCUGAGUCCAAUUUCGACUUAUUCACUCCAACGCCGACUUUGAUACGAAAAUUCGACCCUUAUUUCUGUAAUGGUUAGAGAAAGUAGGUUGAAGAGGAAAAGAGAUAUUGAUGAAGAACCAUCUUCGAAGAAGAAGAAAUCUUAUAAACCCGAGGUAGCAUUAAUUUUUUUAGCUUCCGCUCUUAUGUGUACGUUUUAUUCUUCGUUCCUUUCCCAUUUUGAUAUUUUACUGGUUUUGAUGUUUCAUAUGUGACUUUUUUAGUUUUGUUCCAUGCCUUUUGUUUUGUAUAAAAUGAAAUAUGUAUACAACAUUCCAAAAUACUGCACGAACCAAAGUUUCAUAGAAUUUAGAAGCAUUAUUUUGUGGUCCUUGAUUUUGUUUCUAAGAGAAAAUGGGGAAUUAUAUUGAAUAGUUCAUAUAGGAUUUUGGGAUUAUUGGAUUGUUGAGAUUAGAGUGGACAUGGGGAGAUUGUGGAAGACAACAUAAGAUUGGUGGGUCUAGAAGCUAUGGUGGAAUGUGUAUGAUACAGUUGUCUAAUGAUGUAGUGGGUCAUGUGAUUGUAUGAUGACCACAGAGUACAACCUUUGUUCUUAAGUUUUGGGAAUUCCAAUAAAUGUUAGUAUAUUGAUAUAACUUUCUCAUCAUAAUGACAUUCAUGUAUUUACCGUGGAGUCUUGUUGCUGUGUUUUGAUGAUGAAGCAUAUUUGUGGUGAUUUUGUCACUUUUUUUUUUGUUUUAUGUCAUCUUUUUUAUAGUUUGUGUCACUUUUUGGGCUCUAUGUCACUUUUUCGACUUUAUGUCACAUUUUUUAUAGUUUGUGUCAUUAGUUUAGCACUAUAUUCAAAGAAUCGUUGAUUGCUCAAGAUUUCUUAGCUACUUGUUCACAGUAAGACAGAUUAGCUAUUAAUGGUUUUUCUUUAUAUUCAAUAGAGGAUAUGUUACUAGAAUUAUAAAUGUAGUUAUAUUGAUGACUUUUGAAAGUAUAAAUAAAGUUUGGAUGGAAAAUACGGGUGUAUAUAGUUAGAUACAAUGACCCUAUAAAGUUUGUCAUACGUUUGUAUUGCUGUGAAAGAAUACAGGGGCUAGUUACAGUGGAGUCUCAUUGUUGUGUUUUGAUGAGGAAGCAUCUUUGUGAUGAUUUUGUCAUUUUUUUUGAUUUUUUGUCACCUUUUUUAUAGUUGUGUCACUUUUUGGAUUCUGUGUCAUAUUUUUUAUAAUUUGUGUCACUUUUUUUAUUUAUUGUCAUUUUUUUAGUAUAUGCACUCUAUUAGUUGAUGUGAACUACAAACAUGUUUUUUUGUUAUUGUUAGCAUGUUACAUGGUUAUAUAUUAGCACUAUAUUUCUGGUGAAAAUUCAAAGAAAAUAAUCAUAACCUAUUUGGUCUUUGUCGGUCACCUAAUCCAUGUUUUUAGGGAGAGAGUCCAGCUUAUAGUCCAUUAGCACUGCAUAUUUGUCACUGUUUUAUGUCACUUUUUUUUAAAGUUUUUGUCACUUUUUUUAUUCUCUUUCACUUUUUUUUUAACUCUGUGUCACUUUUUAUUUUUUAUUUUAUGUCACUUUUCCAAGUGUAUGCACUCUUUCAGUUACAAUCACGUUUUCAAUCAUUUGAGUGCAUUAAAUUAUUUUUUGUCCAGCUUAUAGUCCAUUGAUAGUGCACUAUAUGUCACUUUUUUUUUUUGGUCACUUUUCCAAGUGUAUGCACUUUUUUAGUUACAAACAUUUUUUCAAUCAUUUGAGUGCAUUAAAUUCUUUUUUGUCCAGCUUAUAGUCCAUUAGCAUUGCACUAUGUGUCACUUUUUUUUUUUUUUUUUUAGUUUGUCACUUUUUUUAUUUUAUGUCACUUUUCCAAGUGUAUGCACUCUUUCAGUUACAAACAUGUUUUCAAUCAUCUGAAUGCAUUAAAUUCUUUUUUGUCCAUUGGCAGUGCACUAUAUGUCACUUUUUUUUUUUAUUUAUAGUUUUUGUCACUUUUUUGACUAUGUGUCACUUUUUUUAACUUCAUGUUACUUUUCUAAGUGUAUGUACUCUUUUGUUUACAAACUUGUUUUCAAUCAUUAUAACAUGUUUGAAAUGUGUAUGUUAUAGACUUUCAUAAUGCAUGUGAUGAGUGAUUUACGCUCAUUAUAUUAUGCCAUUAAUUUCAUGAUUUUGCUAUUUUAAAGAGUAUUUUAGAAGUGCUAACAAGUGAUUUUGGUGUUGUUUUGUAGAUUGAUGGAAGUGGAGAAAACAAGAUCUAAAAGAGGCCAAAGGAAGAAAAUAGGCGAAAGUUAGCGAAAUUGGAUGACAUGACCAAAAUGUAAGAGAUCCAAAGUUCGAGGAUUAAAAUGCAAUUAAUCAAAAGUCGUGUUGAAACUCACGAUGAAGAUCCGAGAGCGCUAGGAGUCAAUUGGAUGAAGG
rnacentral:lncRNA from 1 species